rnacentral:rRNA from 1 species
CCUACGGGCGGCAGCAGUGGGGAAUAUUGGGCAAUGGGCGCAAGCCUGACCCAGCAACGCCGCGUGAAGGAAGAAGGCUUUCGGGUUGUAAACUUCUUUUGUCAGGGACGAAGCAAGUGACGGUACCUGACGAAUAAGCCACGGCUAACUACGUGCCAGCAGCCGCGGUAAUACGUAGGUGGCAAGCGUUAUCCGGAUUUAUUGGGUGAAAAGGGCGUGUAGGCGGGUAUGCAAGUCAGAUGUGAAAACUAUGGGCUCAACCCAUAGCCUGCAUUUGAAACUGUAUUUCUGAGUGCUGGAGGGGCAAUCGGAAUUCCUUGUGUAGCGGUGAAAUGCGUAGAUAUACGGGGGAACACCAGUGGCGAAGGCGGUUUGCUGGACAGUAACUGACGCUGAGGCGCGAAAGCGUGGGAGCAAACAGGAUUAGAUACCCCAGUAGUC